AUGCUUGCUUUGUUAGUGUGUAUGCAAAAACUGCAACAAUACAGGGAUUAGCAUGGCCCCUGCAUAAGGAUGGUACGUAUAUUCCUGAAGUGUUCCAUAUUAUU